rnacentral:rRNA from 1 species
GUUUGAUCAUGGCUCAGAUUGAACGCUGGCGGCAGGCCUAACACAUGCAAGUCGAGCGGUAGCAGGCCUUCGGGCGCUGACGAGCGGCGGACGGGUGAGGAACACGUAGGAAUCUGCCUUGUAGUGGGGGAUAGCCCAGAGAAAUUUGGAGUAAUACCGCAUAUGCCCUGAGGGGGAAAGUGGGGGACCGAAAGGCCUCACGCUAUGAGAGGAGCCUGCGUCGGAUUAGCUAGUUGGUGGGGUAAGAGCCCACCAAGGCGACGAUCCGUAGCUGGUCUGAGAGGAUGAUCAGCCACACUGGGACUGAGACACGGCCCAGACUCCUACGGGAGGCAGCAGUGGGGAAUAUUGGACAAUGGGCGAAAGCCUGAUCCAGCCAUGCCGCGUGUGUGAAGAAGGCC